rnacentral:rRNA from 1 species
GACGAACGCUGGCGGCGUGCUUAACACAUGCAAGUCGAACGAUGAUCAGGAGCUUGCUCCUGUGAUUAGUGGCGAACGGGUGAGUAACACGUGAGUAACCUGCCCCUGACUCUGGGAUAAGCGUUGGAAACGACGUCUAAUACUGGAUACGACUGCCGGCCGCAUGGUCUGGUGGUGGAAAGAUUUUUUGGUUGGGGAUGGACUCGCGGCCUAUCAGCUUGUUGGUGAGGUACUGGCUCACCAAGGCGACGACGGGUAGCCGGCCUGAGAGGGUGACCGGCCACACUGGGACUGAGACACGGCCCAGACUCCUACGGGAGGCAGCAGUGGGGAAUAUUGCACAAUGGGCGAAAGCCUGAUGCAGCAACGCCGCGUGAGGGAUGACGGCCUUCGGGUUGUAAACCUCUUUUAGUAGGGAAGAAGCGAAAGUGACGGUACCUGCAGAAAAAGCACCGGCUAACUACGUGCCAGCCGCUGCGGUAA